GUGUGUUUGUGUCUGACUGUGUGUGUGUGUGUUUGUGUCUGACUGUGUGUGUUUGUUUGUUUGUGUGUGUGUGUCUGACUGUGUGUGUGUGUUUGUGUCUGACUGUGUGUGUGUCUGACUGUGUGUGUGUUUGUGUCAGACUGUGUGUGUGUUUGUGUCUGACUGUGUGUGUGUGUGUGUGUCUGAUUGUGUAUGUGUCUGACUGUGUAUGUGUCUGACUGUGUGUGUGUGUCUGACUGUGUG